CCUACGGGAUGCACCAGUGGGGAAUAUUGGACAAUGGGCGAAAGCCUGAUCCAGCAAUGCCGCGUGUGUGAAGAAGGUCUUCGGGUUGUAAAGCUCUUUCACCGGUGAAGAUAAUGACGGUAACCGGAGAAGAAGCCCCGGCUAACUUCGUGCCAGCAGCCGCGGUAUACGAAGGGGGCUAGCGUUGCUCGGAAUGACUGGGCGUAAAGGGCGCGUAGGCGGUUUAUGCAGUCAGAUGUGAAAUCCCCGGGCUUAACCUGGGAACUGCAUUUGAGACGCAUAGACUAGAGGUCGAGAGAGGGUUGUGGAAUUCCCAGUGUAGAGGUGAAAUUCGUAGAUAUUGGGAAGAACACCGGUGGCGAAGGCGGCAACCUGGCUCGAUACUGUCGCUGAGGCGCGAAAGCGUGGGGAGCAAACAGGAUUAGAUACCCGUGUAGUC
rnacentral:rRNA from 1 species